GGAAGAAGCCGCGCGUGGCCGAGCGCGCGGUAGGGGCUGGUAAUACGCACGCGCAGGGGCUUUCCCGCGCUUGCGCGGGUUGAGCCGCUGUCGCGCUACGCCCCGGAACGGCUGGAACGGCGCAGACUACCGUUAGCCACGGCGCCGGCGUCUUCCCCGGCUCGCGUCGCAGCCGGCGGGCUUGGCAGGCCCCGUUUUCCGCUGGGCCAGGGCUCUGGGGAGUUCCUUCCCGCGGGGCUGCGGUGAGAAGACUACGAGAGAGAAAUCACAAGAAGAUGGAGAGGCAGGCAGAGAGAGACAGAGGGAAGCAGGCUCCCCGCUGAGCAGAGAGCCCGAUGCGGGACUCGAUCCCAGCACCCUGAGAUCAUGACCUGAGCUGAAGGCAGUGGCUCAACCCACUGGGCCACCCAGGUGCCCCUGAACAUAUUUUUAAAGGCAGAUUAUAAAAUAAUAUGUAUAUGCCAGUUGUGAAAAAAAAAUGUGUAUAUAUAUUCUCAGAGGCAACUGCUGUCUGUCCAGUGUUUUGUGUGUCUUUUCAGAAAUAAAUUGUGUACUCACAAGCACAUUUAUAUAAUCAA